GCUCGGGUAAAGCAUAACCUGGUUAGUGUGACUCAUGAUUAGCAAGUGUGAUUAUUACAAUCACUGAAGGGAAACCAUCAACUUGACCUAGAAGAUUUAUGAAAGUCUUCACAAAUAUAAAGAAACUUGAACUGAACUAGGAGUACAGAGCCCCAGGCAGAGAAGGUGGGGAAGGGCUCAGCAAACAUAAUAUGCAGAGUCAAGGAACACCUAGAAAUGGUGGGAAAAUAGCUGAGGAUGUCUUCCAAAGGUUUCAGAGAAUGAACUAGAUGGUAAGAAAAGGAAAAAAUGGUUGUAAAAAGAAUUAUAGAAGUUAGUUGCUGCUAGUUUAUGAGGGAUCUUGAAUAUGAAGGAAUAGCUUGGCCUUGAAUAUGAAGGCCAAGUAAUUUGGAUUUUAUCACAAACCUAUGUUUAAUAUUUUCAAUUUUUUGUUAAAAAAUUAUUUAAAUGUUAUUUUCAGGAUGCCAUGUGAAAUAUGAACUACAAAAGGGAGAGAGAAAAUAGACUCAAGGACUAUUUG
rnacentral:lncRNA from 1 species